rnacentral:misc_RNA from 1 species
GAUGAAGAACGUAGCGAAAUGCGAUAAGUAGUGUGAAUUGCAGAAUUCAGUGAAUCAUCGAAUCUUUGAACGCACAUUGCGCCCUUUGGUAUUCCAAAGGGCAUGCCUGUUCGAGCGUCAUUUGUACCCUCAAGCUUUGCUUGGUGUUGGGCGUCUUGUCUCUAGCUUUGCUGGAGACUCGCCUUAAAGUAAUUGGCAGCCGGCCUCCUGGUUUCGGAGCGCAGCACAAGUCGCACUCUCUAUCAGCAAAGGUCUAGCAUCCAUUAAGCCUUUUUUUCAACUUUUGACCUCGGAUCAGGUAGGGAUACCCGCUGAACUUAAGCAUAUCAAUAAGCGGAGGA